CAGAGAAAGUUAAUGCCGAAGAUAUCAUUCGGUUCCACACUAAAACUGAGGUUUGACACGUGUGAUUUGAGGCUAGAGCUUGAGGACUCAACUCUGAAGACUGUUUCUGAAUUCACUGACCUGAAAUAAAACUUGUAGACCUUUCCUGCAGUCUCUGAGGAGAUGGACAGCUCUUCUUCUUCUGGACGAUCUCCGUCUCCUACUGGGACUGUCUUCUUACCUCCUCCUAUCAUA